rnacentral:lncRNA from 1 species
AUAAAUAUCCAAAAGAGGAUGCUACGGUAGUUUGCGGAUAUUUUGGUGGUACAAAAGGGGUAGCCUAAGCAUGCUAACAUGUUUAACCCCGCCACGUUCUCUAUGUAUUUGCCUGUCCCAAGUCAGGUGCCUGUAAUUCAGUUGUUGUGAUUACUUUAUGUGUUACAUAUUUGUUUUUCGUUCAUUUUUUUGUACAUAUAAUCAUAUUCAAAACAGUGUGGCUGUGGCCAUUGAUUGACGACCUUUAUUGUCCAAAGGUUCUUAAGAACAAUAUCAUGAUGAUGGAAGAAGUAUUUAAGUAUGAUCAAUUUUAACUUUGCAUUUAAAUUUAAUGUCCAUAAAGUAUCCGAGGUGUAGAUUUGUGUGUUUCAAUGUCAG